GGCUCGAUGGCGGACGGUCCGCGGUUGCCCACAGUUUGGGCUGACAUAUAUAUCUCAUGUGCGCAAGAGAUGCCCGUUCAACUCGGGCUCGAGCCA